CGCCCGAGUCUCGCCGGAGAAGAAGACUCCUAUCGGGAGUCUUCUUUCCGAUUUGUUUCCUCUGUUUUUUUUUUGAAUGGGCUUGGGUCUUAGAUAGUUGGGCUUGGGCUUGGUUUUGGGCUAUGACACUCAGAGUCUUCCUUGACUUGUAAUCGAUGUGGGCUUAAAGGCACCUACCUCCCCUAACAUGUAGUAUGUCUACUCCACUGCUAUACUC
rnacentral:lncRNA from 1 species